GAUUAGGCUCCUUUCCUUUGAUUUAUUUGGGGUGGUGGUGCAUGGCCCGUUCUUAGUUGGUGGAGUNAUUUUGUCUGGUUAAUUCCGAUAACGAACGAGNCCUUAACCUGCUAAAUAGCCAGGCCGGCUUUUGCUGGUCGCCGGCUUCUUAGAGGGACUACCAGCAUCUAGCUGAUGGAAGUUUGAGGCAAUAACAGGUCUGUGAUGCCCUUAGAUGUUCUGGGCCGCACGCGCGCUACACUGACAGAGCCAGCGAGUUUAUAACCUUGGCCGGAAGGUCUGGGUAAUCUUGUGAAACUCUGUCGUGCUGGGGAUAGAGCAUUGCAAUUCUUGCUCUUCAACGAGGAAUUCCUAGUAAGCGUGAGUCAUCAGCUCGCGUUGAUUACGUCCCUGCCCUUUGUACACACCGCCCGUCGCUACUACCGAUUGAAUGGCUUGGUGAGAUCUCUGGAUUGGCUUUGAGGAUCCGGCAACGGAACCUUAUUGCUGAAAAGCUGCUCAAACUUGGUCAUUUAGAGGAAGUAAAAGUCGUAACAAGGA
rnacentral:rRNA from 1 species